CCUACGGGAGGCAGCAGUGGGGAAUAUUGGGCAAUGGGCGCAAGCCUGACCCAGCAACGCCGCGUGAAGGAAGAAGGCCCUCGGGUUGUAAACUUCUUUUAUCAGGGACGAAACAAAUGACGGUACCUGAUGAAUAAGCCACGGCUAACUACGUGCCAGCAGCCGCGGUAAUACGUAGGUGGCAAGCGUUAUCCGGAUUUACUGGGUGUAAAGGGCGUGUAGGCGGGAGAGCAAGUCAGACGUGAAAUUCCAGGGCUCAACCCUGGAACUGCGUUUGAAACUGUUCUUCUUGAGUGAUGGAGAGGCAGGCGGAAUUCCUAGUGUAGCGGUGAAAUGCGUAGAUAUUAGGAGGAACACCAGUGGCGAAGGCGGCUUACUGGACUGUAACUGACGUUGAGGCUCGAAAGCGUGGGGAGCAAACAGGAUUAGAUACCCUGGUAGUC
rnacentral:rRNA from 1 species